GUAUUCCCUUCAGAAGCACAUAUACUAAAAUUGAAUGAUACAGGGAAGAUUAGCAUGACCCCUGCACAAGGAUGACACACAAAUUCAUGAAACAUUCCAUAUUUUU
rnacentral:snRNA from 1 species